AUGGCGCCCCUCAGAACAACUGUAUUGCUGUGGAGCCUCUUGAGGAGUUCUCCGGGCGUGGAACGGGUCCGUUUCCGGGCUCGAAUCCAGCCCUGGCACAGUGGCCUGCUCCAACCGCUACCUUGCUCUUUCGAGAUGGGGCUGCCACGCCGCCGGUUCAGCUCCGAGGCCGCAGAAUCUGGUAGCCCAGAGACCAAGAAACCUACAUUUAUGGAUGAGGAAGUUCAAAGCAUACUCACGAAAAUGACAGGCUUGAACUUGCAGAAGACUUUUAAGCCAGCUAUACAAGAACUGAAGCCACCAACCUAUAAGCUAAUGACUCAGGCACAGUUGGAAGAGGCUACAAGACAGGCAGUUGAGGCAGCUAAAGUACGAUUAAAAAUGCCACCAGUUCUGGAAGAGCGAGUACCAAUAAAUGAUGUGUUAGCUGAAGAUAAGAUUUUGGAAGGAACAGAAACAACCAAAUAUGUGUUUACUGAUAUAUCAUAUAGCAUACCACACCGGGAGCGUUUUAUUGUCGUCAGAGAACCAAGUGGCACACUACGCAAAGCCUCUUGGGAAGAACGGGACCGAAUGAUACAAGUUUAUUUCCCAAAAGAAGGUCGUAAAAUUUUGACACCAAUAAUUUUCAAGGAAGAAAAUCUUAGGGUAAGGUGACUUAGGUUUUAUGUUUUAGAGCCAGUGGUGAUGAUUUAUUUUUAGAACCAGUUGGCUUUGUGCCUUGAUCCAGAUAAACAUUUCUAAUGAUAACUUGACUUUUUUUUUUUUUGAAAUGGAGUUUCGCUCCUUUUGCCCAGGCUGAAGUGCAGUGGCGGGAUCUCAGCUCACUGCAACCUCCACCUUCUGGUUUCAAGUGAUUCUUCUGCCUCAGCCUCAUGAGUAGCUGGGAUUACAGGCGCCCGCCACCACGCUUGGCUAAUUUUUGUAUUUUUAGUAGAGACGGGGUUUCACCAUGUUGGCCAGGCUGGUCUUGAACUCCUGACCUCGGGAUUCGCACCCCCCCACCCCCACAAUCCGACUCCCAAAGUGCUGGGAUUACAGGCGUGAGCCACCACGCCUGGCCGACUUCUUUUUUAAUAGAAUCCUCCUUACCACCCAAGAUGGGUUGUACUAGGGUUCUCUCAUAAUUGGCUUAGCUGGAAUUUGAAUCUAGGUGUGACAAUUACAAAGCCUGUGUUAUUUCUUUAUGCUUCUUGAGGAGCACAGAGUGGCCAGUUUGUGGGUGGGCAGGCCUGUCAUGACAUCAGGACUGGUGCUGAACUUGAGUGUUCUCAUGUGAUGCUAACUCUGCUGUGUGGUUUUAGACUAUGUAUAGCCAGGACAGGCAUGUUGAUGUCCUCAAUCUCUGCUUUGCCCAGUUUGAGCCAGAUUCCACAGAGUAUAUCAAGGUUCAUCACAAGACCUAUGAAGAUAUAGAUAAACGUGGAAAAUAUGACCUUUUACGUUCAACAAGAUACUUUGGUGGAAUGGUGUGGUAUUUUGUAAAUAAUAAAAAGAUUGAUGGUUUGCUGAUUGACCAGAUUCAGAGAGAUUUAAUCGAUGAUGCAACCAACUUGGUCCAGCUGUAUCACCUGCUCCAUCCAGAAGGCCAGUCGGCUCAAGGGGCCAAGGAUCAGGCUGCUGAGGGAAUAAAUUUAAUCAAGGUCUAUGCAAAAACAGAAGCACAGAAGGGAGCCUAUAUAGAACUAACACUGCAAACUUAUCAAGAAGCACUCAGUCGCCAUUCUGCAGCUUCCUAAAAAUAUUUUAAAAAUACAUUUAUUUUACUAAAUACUG
rnacentral:sRNA from 1 species